AACCGGAUUAGAUACCCUGGUAGUCCACGCCCUAAACGAUGUCGACUGGUUGUUGGGGGUUUGACACUCUCAGUAACGAAGCUAACGCGUGAAGUCGACCGCCUGGGGAGUACGGCCGCAAGGUUAAAACUCAAAGGAAUUGACGGGGACCCGCACAAGCGGUGGAUUAUGUGGAUUAAUUCGAUGCAACGCGAAAAACCUUACCUACCCUUGACAUGUCCGGAAGGCUGCUGAAAAGCGGCUGUGCCCGAAAGGGAACUGGAACACAGGUGCUGCAUGGCUGUCGUCAGCUCGUGUCGUGAGAUGUUGGGUUAAGUCCCGCAACGAGCGCAACCCUUGUCAUUAGUUGCUACAUUCAGUUGGGCACUCUAAUGAGACUGCCGGUGACAAACCGGAGGAAGGUGGGGAUGACGUCAAGUCCUCAUGGCCCUUAUGGGUAGGGCUUCACACGUAAUACAAUGGCGCGUACAGAGGGCUGCUAAGCCGCGAGGUAGAGCCAAUCCCUUAAAGCGCGUCGUAGUCCGGAUUGCAGUCUGCAACUCGACUGCAUGAAGUCGGAAUCGCUAGAAUCGCGA
rnacentral:rRNA from 1 species